CGGUCCGGGAGGAUCCCACGUGCCGCAGAGCGGCUGGGCCCGUGAGCCGUGGCCGCUGAGCCUGCGCGUCCGGAGCCUGUGCUCUGCAAUGGGAGAGGCCACAACAGUGAGAGGCCCGCGUACCGCAAAAAAAAAAAAAAAAGAAGCAACUUCUCAUCCAUUCAAGUUUUAUCCUGAGAUUGCAGCAAUUCAGUCACAUCUUCAGGCUCCGCUUCUAAUGCUAGUUCUCUUGCUCUUUCCACCACACCUGCAGUUACUUCCUCCACUGAAGUCUUGAACUCUACAAAGUCAUCCAUGAAGACUGGAAUCAACUUCUUCCAAACCACUGUUAAUGUUGAUAUUUUGACCUCUUCCCAUGAAUCAUGAAUGUUCUUAAUUAUCUAGAAUGGGUCUUCUUGAGACUACUGGCACAUAGCCUCGUACCGUGCUGGUACUGCAGGAUGCUGAAGUUGGGAAAACAUCCUAUUAAGAAGAGUGAGUUUGAACUGGUCAGAUAAAGGAUUAAGAAAAACAAAUUCAAAGAAAAGAUUUUUCUCAAGUUACUAAAGGAAAUUAUCCUCAGAAGUGUCCCAACAAGAAGAAACUGUGGAGAAUGCUCCCCCCACACCAACUCCCACCCAAUUAUCUUGCACUGAGAUACCUAGUAAAACUGCACGUUGUAGACACUUGAAUUUGGACAGACAAGCAACCCAGCCACCUUUCAGUGUGGCUGUGUCAGUAUCGGAAUGAAAUGAACAUGACCCCCUCCAGCAGGGAAGGAACACACAGUAAAGCCUUCACCUCAAAGAUCAGAUUCAGCAGACGGUAGAACUUGCUUUGAACCACCUUCUUCUCCUCCACAAUGCUGACAUCAGGAUUUGGUAAAAAGCGGUACUGUCCAUUUCCCCCAAAAAGACUUCGAAUAUUUGUGGUCCAGCAACUUAUAAAAUUCCAGGUUACAGUCCAGGUUACUUACCAGGUGUGGCUGAGUUGGAGGACACAGGUGAAAAGAAAGAUGCACACAGAAGGCUUCGUAAGCAACAUAAUCCUCUGGAGUGACAAGGAUAGAAAAUUCUAAAAACUUGGGAGACAGAGAGGUUAUAAAGAUAAUCUCUGGGACUUCCCUGGUGGCACAGUGGUUAAGAAUCCACCUGCCGAUGCAGGGGACACGGGUUCAAUCCCUGAUCCGGGAAGAUCCCACAUGCCGCGGAGCAACUAAGCCUGUGAGCCACAACUACUGAGCCCACGUGCUGCAUCUACUGAAGCCCACAUGCUCUAGAACCCGUGCUCCGCAACAAGAGAAGCCACCACAGUGAGAAGCCCGUGCACCACAACAAAGAAUCUUAGUUCCACGACCAGGGAUCAGCAGUGAAAGUGCAGAGUCCUAACCACUGGACCACCAGGGAAUUCCCAAAGAUUCUUGAAAAGUCCAAGGAUUUUCACAAAAGUGUCUUAUAAAAACACAUGUAGAACCUAUCAAAAAAGAGAUUAAGAAAGAGGUGGUGGUGACAUGAGGACUGCUCUUUUUAAGAUCAGGUGGUGAUGGAAGGCAUUUUUGAAGAGGAGAUGUAUGAAAUGAGACACGAAAGACAGGAAAGAGGCAUCUCGCAUGGAUCCACGGAGGAGCAGUCCAGUGAAUGGAACAGUAGAUGCAAAGGUCCAGAGGGGGAGUCAUGGAAGAUUUUUCUGAACAGAGGAAUACUUAUGAUUUAAAACUUUUAUUAAAAAUAUUAAUUUGGGGCUUCCCUGGUGGCGCAGUGGUUGAGAGUCCGCCUGCUGAUGCAGGGGACACGGGUUCAUGCCCCAGUCCGGGAAGAUCCCACAUGCCGCGGAGCGGCUGGGCCCAUGAGCCAUGGCCGCUGAGCCUGCGCGUCCGGAGCCUGUGCUCCGCAACGGAAGAGGCCACAGCAGUGAGAGGCCCGCGUACGGCAAAAAAAAAAAAAAAAAAAAAAAAAGUUAAUUUGGUAAAUAAUGGAUCAAAGCGGAGAGAUCCUGGAGAUAAGAGAAUCACUUAUAAAACUUGCAAUUAUCCAGAAAAGAAGUAAUAAGUCUUGGGCUUCCCUGGUGGCGCGGUGGUUAAGAAUCUGCCUGCCAAUGAAGGGGACACGGGUUCGAGCCCUGGUCCGGGAAGAUCCCACAUGCUGCAGAGCAACUAAGCCCGAGCACCACAGCUACUGAGCCUGCGCUCUAGAGCCUGUGAGCCACAACUACUGAGCUCACGAGCCACAGCUACUGAGCCCGUGUGGCACAACUACUGAAGCCCACGCGCCUAGAGCCCGUGCUCCGCAACAAGAGGUGCCACCGCGAUGCGAAGCCCGCGCACUGCAAUGAAGAGUAGCCCCCGCUCACCGCAACUAGAGAAAGCCCGCGCGCAGCAACCAAAACCCAACG